rnacentral:miRNA from 14 species
AUUGUCUCGCAGCUGCUUCAAC